UGGUUCUGGCAUCGAUGAAGAACGCAGCGAAAUGCGAUAAGUAAUGUGAAUUGCAGAAUUCAGUGAAUCAUCGAAUCUUUGAACGCACAUUGCGCCCUUUGGUAUUCCGAAGGGCAUGCCUGUUCGAGCGUCAUUUCAACCCUCAAGCUCUGCUUGGUAUUGGGCCUCGCCGGUUCUGGCGGGCCUUAAAAUCAGUGGCGGUGCCAUACGGCUCUAAGCGUAGUAAUUUUCUCGCUACAGGUGCCGCGUGGAGACCUGCCAGCAACUCCCACUUUUUAAGGUUGACCUCGGAUCAGGUAGGGAUACCCGCUGA
rnacentral:misc_RNA from 1 species